rnacentral:rRNA from 1 species
AGGGUGUCGGACGUCGCGACCCGUUCGCCAGAUCGAUGCUCAGGGGCGCGUCUCAAGUUCGUAUGCGCGGCCGUUUCGGCGGUCGCGCGGCGAUGACGCGUUUCCACUGUUUUCGACGCGGACGGUAGCUUUGCGCGCGGGUAAUCGAGGCGGUCCUUCGUCCGGCGUCUCGUACGUCGGACGGCGCUCGCCUCGACGCCGGUCAGCGACGAAUCUUCGGGCCUCUUUCCGACCCGUCUUGAAACACGGACCAAGGAGUCUAGCGUGCGCGCGAGUCGCGGGGUAUCCGAGGAGUAGUAGUCGUUUCGGCGGCGAACGCUCCUCGUCACGAUACGAAACCCGUGUACGUACGUUGUGCGAAGGCGUAAUGAAAGUGAAAGGCGGCGCUUCGCGCGUCGCCGGGGGAAGACGGUCGACCGUGUACACGUUUCGCGACCGCGUAUGUGUCGCGACCGGUCACCCGCAUUCCCAGGGCGUCCCGCUCGUACGUCGGCGGCCGGGGUUCGCUUCGACCGUCGACGAACUGGGGCGCACCUACAGCGUGCACGCUGGUACCCGAAAGAUGGUGAACUAUGCCUGGCCAGGAUGAAGUCAGGGGAAACCCUGAUGGAGGUCCGCAGCGAUUC